GACAAGACGGAAAGACCCCAUGAACCUUUACUAUAGCUUCACAUUGGUAUUGGGUAAAUGAUGUGUAGGAUAGGCGGGAGACUCUGAAGCUGCGUCGCUAGGCGUGGUGGAGUCGUUGGUGAAAUACCGCCCUUUAUUUAUCUGAUGCCUAAUCCGCCGGAUGGCGGAGACAGUGUGUGGUGGGUAGUUUGACUGGGGUGGUCGCCUCCUAAAGAGUAACGGAGGCUUCUAAAGGUACCCUCAGCACGCUUGGUAACCGUGCGUAGAGUGCAAUGGCAUAAGGGUGCUUGACUGAGAGACAUACAGGUCGAUCAGGUUGGAAACAAGAGCAUAGUGAUCCGGUGGUUCCGCAUGGAA
rnacentral:rRNA from 1 species